UACGUAGGUGGCAAGCGUUAUCCGGAUUUAUUGGGCGUAAAGGGAACGCAGGCGGUCUUUUAAGUCUGAUGUGAAAGCCUUCGGCUUAACCGGAGUAGUGCAUUGGAAACUGGGAGGCUUGAGUGCAGAAGAGGAGAGUGGAACUCCAUGUGUAGCGGUGAAAUGCGUAGAUAUAUGGAAGAACACCAGUGGCGAAAGCGGCUCUCUGGUCUGUAACUGACGCUGAGGUUCGAAAGCGUGGGGAGCAAACAGG
rnacentral:rRNA from 1 species